GGGUCUUUAGCUCAGUUGGUUAGAGCACUGUGUUGAUAACGCAGGGGUCGAUGGUUCGAGUCCAUCAAGACCCACCA
rnacentral:tRNA from 2 species